rnacentral:SRP_RNA from 1 species
GUGGGCUAGAUGGGAGUUAGGGGUCCCCAUUCCGCAAAUCCCCUUUAGGCGGGUCGAAAACCUGAAGAGUGGUUCGUUCUUUGUGCGUCCUUUGUCCUAGGCGCUGAAGUCUUCCCUUCCAGGAUGGUAGCUCUGCACGAACCUGGCCAGACCGGAAGGAGCAGCCAUAAGUGCUUUGCGCCAUGCUUGGGAGACCGGAGGUGGAGCUGAUGGCUUUGGCUCCGUGCGGGGAGUGGAUUGCAACUCAGGGUGCCCAC